CGGGGAAUAUUGGACAAUGGGGGCAACCCUGAUCCAGCAAUGCCGCGUGUGUGAAGAAGGUCUUCGGAUUGUAAAGCACUUUCGACGGGGACGAUGAUGACGGUACCCGUAGAAGAAGCCCCGGCUAACUUCGUGCCAGCAGCCGCGGUAAUACGAAGGGGGCUAGCGUUGCUCGGAAUGACUGGGCGUAAAGGGCGUGUAGGCGGUUUGUACAGUCAGAUGUGAAAUCCCCGGGCUUAACCUGGGAGCUGCAUUUGAUACGUGCAGACUAGAGUGUGAGAGAGGGUUGUGGAAUUCCCAGUGUAGAGGUGAAAUUCGUAGAUAUUGGGAAGAACACCGGUGGCGAAGGCGGCAACCUGGCUCAUUACUGACGCUGAGGCGCGAAAGCGUGGGGAGCAAACAGG
rnacentral:rRNA from 1 species